rnacentral:rRNA from 1 species
CUACGGGUCGCAGCAGUGAGGAAUAUUGCACAAUGGGGGGAACCCUGAUGCAGCAACGCCGCGUGGAGGAUGAUGCAUUUCGGUGUGUAAACUCCUUUUAUAUGUCAAGAAAAUGACGGUAGCAUAUGAAUAAGCACCGGCUAACUCCGUGCCAGCAGCCGCGGUAAUAAGGAGGGUGCAAGCGUUACUCGGAAUCACUGGGCGUAAAGGACGCGUAGGCGGGUUGGAAAGUCAGGUGUGAAAUCCUACAGCUUAACUGUAGAACUGCACUUGAAACUUCUAAUCUAGAGUAUGGGAGGGGGAGAUGGAAUUAGUGGUGUAGGGGUAAAAUCCGUAGAUAUCACUAGGAAUACCUAAAGCGAAGGCGAUCUCCUGGAACAUUACUGACGCUAAGGCGUGAAAGCGUGGGGAGCAAACAGGAUUAGAUACCCUAGUAGUC